GAUGAACGCUAGCGGCAGGCCUAACACAUGCAAGUCGAGGGGCAUCGCGGUGCAGCAAUGCACUGGCGGCGACCGGCGUACGGGUGCGUAACGCGUAUGCAACCUGCCCCGCACCGGGGGAUAGCCCGCCGAAAGGCGGAUUAAUACCCCAUGGUCCCGGGUGUCCGCAUGGGCAUCCGGGUAAAGCCUUGGCGGUGCGGGAUGGGCAUGCGUGCCAUUAGCUGGCUGGUGGGGUAACGGCCCACCAGGGCAACGAUGGCUAGGGGGUCUGAGAGGAUGGUCCCCCACACUGGUACUGAGACACGGACCAGACUCCUACGGGAGGCAGCAGUGAGGAAUAUUGGUCAAUGGGCGGAAGCCUGAACCAGCCAUGCCGCGUGCGGGAUGAAGGCCCUACGGGUUGUAAACCUCUGUCAUGGGGAAGAGGAAGUGACGGUACCCCAAGAGGAAGCCCCUGCUAACUACGUG
rnacentral:rRNA from 1 species